rnacentral:misc_RNA from 1 species
UGCAUUUCAAAUUUACCGGUAAUUUCAAAUUCUGUUAUGCGCAAACAUUCAAACGGUAAAACGUGUUUUGAAGAAUUAGAUUUAUUAUUGUUCAUUAAAAAGUUGGAUGCAAACAUUCUUAUUAUAUAAUUGGAAUAAUGAAAUGGAUUCAUGAUGUAGAAAUUGAAUAUAAAACAGCGUACCGAAAUACGGACUGUGUAAUUAAUAUUUUAGAUAUUAAUGUAAAAUUCCCGUGAAAGAAGAGCUGUAUUACACAUUCAUUUCUACAUCUAAUUUUUCAAUUAGUAACUGAAUUAAAUUACAUUCAGCGGUCGAAAACGCCUUUGUGAAAUGCUAUCGUGUUUUAAAUUUGAAGAAAGAAAAGAAAGGCAUUAAAUGCUGUAUCAAGGAACACAAAGAAAACUGGUGUUGGUUACACAUGCUUUUAGUAAGAAAACUUGUAUAAAUGGUUAUAUAAUUGCUUUUGUACGUUUAGUGUAGAAGUGUUGCUUUUUUUCUACUAAGAUAUCUCUGACUGGAUAAUUUUGAGUGAAAACGUUUGGAUAUUGCAAUUUCUUGUAUCUAUGGUGUCACCACCGACCACGCCUGGAAAAUCUCUUAAUCCCAAUCCCAAGUACCCCCUGUUCAACAAACUUCUGCAUGAAAGUCUGGCAGGUAGAGUACCGGCACGGAACAGCAAAUACCCCGCUUGUCCAGCAACAGCACCGGUUUUAACUCCUUCUUACGGCAUCACAUCUGAAAAGGCGGACAUGGACAAGGAAAUAGACAAUAAUAAAACAGAUAAGCACCAGAUAGAAGAAGAACCUCCUAGUGCAGAACCUCCAAUUAAACUCAUGGAUCCUCCAAAAACAAAGUUAAAACGUCAGCUUUCAAUAGAUACUGCUGAACGAACUGACGCAGAGCGUGUAAGAAAGAGAGCAGCUUUGUUAUAUCAGCCUGGCUUAAGUGACGUCAGACCUUCGAGAAAGGAUGAGGUCGAUGGCGGGCGACCAUCUACCUCGACAGAAAUAAUUCACCCUGAAGCAUCGAAAAGUUAUACUUCUGGCAUAUAUGAAACUGGAAGUGCUACUAUACCUAUUACUAUUGCUACAAGCUCCAUCAGAGGACAACCUGAAUUAGUUUAUGAUACUCAAGACUUACAGGAGGAGUACACGAAGGAAUACGUACCAUUGCCUAGUCCAAACCGUUUCAACCUGAGCGAUAUAGGUCUGACAUCACCUUUUGCUACCCGGACAUCCUUCGGAGCUCAUGAAAAAGAGGCGUUUGUCUUUCCUGAUAACGUCCCACCAAGGAAAAUAUCACCGUACAAGAAUAUACAUGAAGAGUACAGGGAAAGAGAUGUUUCUGAGCCAAGAGAAGAUUAUUCUAUGGAAAUGUUAAGCAGAUUAGCUCACGAGUCCAUCUUUAGAAAGGAAUACAAGACGGAAAAUAACCAAAGCAAAUCUCACAUUGACAUUAAAGAUGAGACGCAGUCUAAAUAUUCCAGAGGCCAUCAUACACAACACAGACCGGGACAUGUCUCAGAGAGGGGUUUCGCCUGGCCCGAAAAGGCAACAAUAACAGAACCAGUGCCGUUUAGUCCAAGAAUCGUUACCACAGAUUCUCGUCCUCGAUUUCCUACCUCUUCAACAAGCAACGACAGGGCGAAACUAGCACAGGAAGAACUAGAGCUUAAAGAUAGAUUGCGGUUAUUAGAGAGGGAAUAUGCCAGAGCUAAAGAAAUAUACGGAUCAUCACCCGUUUCCCAAGAGUUCAGACAAAUGUCUCCCACUUCAAGAAAUGUCGAAAGCCUCCGUCGCGGAGCUCUUAGAAGUAUUAGCAAUAAGGACAGAUCACCAAAUGAAAAGGAGAUUCCGAGAAAUAAGUGACGACGUGCGAAGUAGAUAUGAACGUUCUUUCUCUGAUCCAAGGUUCAGCCCCCGACAGAUCUAUAGCCUUAUCAUGAGACCUAGCCCCCUGUGUAGACAAUAUGAUGAAACAAUGCAAGACACUUUGUCCCAUGACCGUUGUCCAGAUCGUUGGAGAGAUGAUGUAAAAAGAAGACUUUUUGUUAAGGGUGACUUAAGUUACAGUAAUG